AUUGAACGCUGGCGGCAUGCCUUACACAUGCAAGUCGAACGGUAACAGGUCUUCGGAUGCUGACGAUUGGCGGACGAGUGAGUAAUACAUCGGAACGUGCCCGAUCGUGGGGGUUAACGAGGCGAAAGCUUUGCUAAUACCGCAUACGAUCUACGGAUGAACGCGGGGGAUCUUCGGACCUCGCUCGGGCGGAGCGGCCGAUGGCAGAUUAGGUAGUUGGUGGGAUAAAAGCUUACCAAGCCGACGAUCUGUAGCUGGUCUGAGAGGAUGAUCAGCCACACUGGGACUGAGACACGGCCCAGACUCCUACGGGAGGCAGCAGUGGGGAAUUUUGGACAAUGGGCGAAAGCCUGAUCCAGCCAUGCCGCGUGCAGGAUGAAGGCCUUCGGGUUGUAAACUGCUUUUGUACGGAACGAAAAGCCUCUUUCUAAUAAAGAGGGGUCAUGACGGUACCGUAAGAAUAAGCACCGGCUAACUACGUG
rnacentral:rRNA from 1 species